rnacentral:rRNA from 1 species
UACAGAGGUCUCAAGCGUUGUUCGGAUUCAUUGGGCGUAAAGGGUGCGUAGGUGGCGCCGUAAGUCAGGUGUGAAAUCUCGGGGCUCAACCCCGAAACUGCACUUGAUACUGCGGUGCUCGAGUACUGGAGAGGAGAUUGGAAUUUACGGUGUAGCGGUGAAAUGCGUAGAUAUCGUAAGGAAGACCAGUGGCGAAGGCGAAUCUCUGGACAGUUACUGACACUGAGGCACGAAGGCCAGGGGAGCAAACGGG